AGAGAGAGACAUGCGCGCAUAUCAAUAAGCGGAGGAAAAGAAACUAACAAGGAUUCCCUUAGUAACGGCGAGUGAAGCGGGAAGAGCUCAAAUUUGAAAUCUUCAAGGUUUUACCUUGACGAAUUGUAGUUUAAAGAAGUGUUUUCUGCUGAAGUUUUGGUAAAAGUUCUUCGGAAUAGGACAUCAUAGAGGGUGAGAAUCCCGUAUUUGACCAUUAUUUUCAGCUUUGUGAUACACUUUCAAAGAGUCGGAUUGUUUGGGAAUGCAGUCCAAAAUGGGUGGUAAAUUUCAUCUAAAGCUAAAUAUUGGCGAGAGACCGAUAGCGAACAAGUACCGUGAGGGAAAGAUGAACAGAACUUUGAAAAGAGAGUUAAACAGUACGUGAAAUUGUCAAAAGGGAAGCGUUUGUACACCAGUGUUGUUUUCUCGAAAAUCAAUUAAAAAUGGCUCGAUUUUGUAUUGCUGAGACCUUAAAAGCUCACUGUACAUUUUUCGUGUCUUUUUUAAUGCACUUUUCGUUUAACAAGUCAACAUCAGUUUCUUUUGUUGUAAAAGGGUCAUUGGAAGGUGGCUUUCUUUUCGGAGAAAGUGUUUAUAGCCUUUGGCCCCUGCAAUCGGAGAGAUUGAGGUCUGCAGCGUAGACUCCUUCGGGGUUAGAUACAUUUGUGCUAAGUUAUAGCCUUUUCAUAGACAACUUGUUGACUAUAAUCAGUCAUGUAGCUUACUCGCUUAUGCUAUUUUACCUACGCUUAGGAUGUUGAAGAUGUAGCACAUCAU
rnacentral:rRNA from 1 species